GUACUGGGUAAGAGUGGUUGGCAACUUUCUCUUGUCAUCCUUCGGUUCAAGUAUUUCAGUCUAGAGCUUAACAAUGGAAUAUUCUUUCUUGUUUAGGAACCUUUUUGAAUUAUUUUAGCAGCAAGUUCGGAAGCAGGAUAGGGAGGUGACUUUGCUCAAGUGGUUUGGGUAGGGGUUUGACUUUAGUUUUGCCAGCUCUCGAGGUUGCAAGGAGUCAAUCGAGGUCAAAUCGCAAAACCCGUCCUUGAAGUACUGUAGUAGUUGCAAUACUAUCGAACUUUCAAUUGUAAAAAUUGAGCUUUUAAAGUUGUACAAAUGCAAAAAUUGUACCCUUAAGUUUACAAUAA